UUUAGGUUAAAAACACAGCGAAAAUUUUUUUUUUUUUGAAAACCUGACCCCAGAGUAUGCCAGAUCCGCCACAAAUACAGGGAAUCCACUGUUCACACGGACAGAGUCUCCCCUGUAUUUGCACGGCGUCGAUCAAAUACACAGUACAACCAGGAUACAACCACAACCAGAUGAAUAUAAAAAUAACUAUACAUUCAUACAUUCUUCACCAUUCACAUCACAGUUUUACAUUCAAGGUUUAAACAGAAAUCCACAAAAAUCUUUUGAAAACUGUUUUCCUACACAAAAACCUUUAUUUUUUUAAAAACGCUACCACGAGGGGUAGAAAACCUUUUAUUUUACAAAAUCCAGAAAUCCACAUUUUCAAAUGUAAAUAAAUACUGAACCACAUAAACUAACUAAACUAUAUAUCAACAGAAAUACCAAGGAUAAAUAACUAAAUCGAAAUAACC
rnacentral:lncRNA from 1 species